rnacentral:lncRNA from 1 species
GGGGUGAGACAGAAAAGCUCGGCUGCGGGUGCACGGGAGCAGCACUGGCCAAGGGUGAGGGAAACCCGCCAUGUUCAGCCUUGCUCUCACCCACCGGCUUGCUGGGUGGUGAGCCACCAGGGUGGACACAUGAGGACAACCCAGUGUCAUUUGGAGGAGCAGUGAUGUCUCUGACAUGCUCUGUAAGCACAGUCGCCUGCCUGUGGGGCCGGAGCACCAGUUUGCUGUCAAAUUAGACUCGAGAAGUCAUAAAAUAAUUGCAGUAACAUCUUCAAGCUGUUUUCAUCGAUGCUGCAAAGGCAAUAACCCUGAAAUGUCACAGCUGCAGAUUUGUAUCACACAGAUAAGAUGGGUGCCUGGAGCUGCUGGUGGUACUCCAGCCUGCACAGGAGGAUGCUUGGAUGGAGGCAGGUCCAGACCUGUGUGGAUGGCCGGUGUCCCUCUCUCAUGGCAGCAGCAUCCUAAACAAACGCAGCAUCUUGCUCCUCGGAGUAAUUUUCCCAGGAGUUAUGGCUGCAGAUGUAUUAUUUUGCUUUUUGACCUGCCUGCCUCCCAGGAAAAACUCCAUUUCAUUGAUCGGGCCAUUUCAAGCUCAUUGCAGGGCUGCCAAUAGCUAAGCCAUAACAGUAAUUUUAACCUCUGCAUUUUCUCCUAGUGUUUAGUGUCAGUGUUAUAAAGUACCACUCCAAAUAUAAGCACAGGCAGUCAAUUAUUUUAAUCUUUAUUACAUUGGAAUGUACAGCAGCUUCUCCUGAGCAAAAAACACUGUGUCUGAUACUCCGCAGAGUGGGUUUGGCUGGGAAAUGGCAUCCAACCACUUUGGGAAGCUCCAUCCCACCACGGCACACAUCAGCCGAGCUCAUGGACACCCCCUGGAUUCAUUUGUCAGGUCAGCCACAGCACGAACAACACCCCCAGCACCCAACUCCUGCCUUUGGAAGGGAUGAUACUCCUCCCACUUCCUUCUAAUUCCCCUAUAAAUUGGUUGCAGGAUUCAGUAUCAGUGCCCACAGCACCCACUCAGACAAAGCUGUGGUCUCACCCUGUGCCCCCCAAAAACCGCUUCGCUGGGGGUUGAGCACCUGCCCACCAUGAAUGGUCUCUGGCGUAUCCCAGGAGCAGAAAGAGCUGCCCGCAAACAAAACCAGCCCCAUCUCAUCACUCUGACUUCCCCGUGAAAAACGGUGCCGGUUAAACCCUGCAUAUCACAUGCACAGUCUAUAUUUAACUUGUGUAUUAAAUGGACAAGGAAUGAGUUUGUCGAGUGGAAUUUGGGAUGGGUGACACAUCAAGGCAGAGGCAGCGCUGGCGAAAUCCAGCUGGUUCAGCCAGGGUCAGUGUUGGCUGCAGUGGGAAGUUUUUUCCCCUUGUUGUGUGGGUUAGUCAUAGGUUUGUUUAUUUUUUUAGAUUUUUUUUCUUAUUCAUCUGUUGCAAUCACAGCAGACACAUCAUUUCACAGCCCUACAUGGAAAUCCAAGUCUAACAAACUAUUUUUAGCACACAAAAUGUCUUCUCUAAAUGUAUUAACUUUGGAAGAGUAAAUAUUAAAUACACUCUCAUUGCAUUAGGAGCAUUUAUGCAGAAGUACAGCACCAGCGUUUUUAAUGGUUAGGGGAAAUUAUGUUAUGCCACUAGCACUUAAUCAAACACAAUAAAACGAGAUCUUACUGCAGUUCUUUCAGGAUAAGUUGAAGGGAAAUUAAUUCAUUUUCACACCCAUUGCUGACGAUUUACUGACACUGAGGCACUUUUGUCCCAUUAGUGUUUAUGGUGGCACUUGCAAUCCUUAUGCAAAACAUGCUGGGGAUAGCCUAACAUUUAUUUUGCAAUUAAACUGAAAUGAUUCUUUGCCUGCUCACUCCCGAUCGAGGCAUUCAGCACCAUCUGUGAGGAGGGUACUACAG